rnacentral:lncRNA from 1 species
GCUCCCACCGACCUUUGAAUCAAUAUCUCGCCGACCACAAAAAAUAAGAUCCAGUGAUCUGGCUUAAGGUGGAUUUGAUUGAAAUAGUACUUUAGCCACUGAUCGAUCUUAGUUAACCGACCUGUUGUCUCACAUGGGCAAUCGAUUGAGAUCUCUUAACAAACUCUCAAAAUAUGAUCAUGUCAAAUAUCCACAACUAACAAUCCAGUUAAUGGGUA